UGGACAGGAAGUGGAGACUGAGAUGAGGAGAUGGAAGGAGAAAGAGAGGCAAAGAACUUUUUAAUGUCUACAGUCUCAGAUCAACACAGCCCUGCCCUCCAGCACUAUCACCAGCAGGGGCACCCUUAACCGCUCAACAGCAACAUUGUACCCGAUCAGGAAGGGAGCAGAUAAAAGGUCGGACAUGAGUGGAUGUGAACUCAUGAGGAGACUCGAAAGGAGACAACAGGACUGCCACGUCGAUUCCGGAAGAAGAUAGUCAUAAUAAUAAUGUGUUAUUGUUGUGAUUUAAAACUGUACAGCCUGACUCAGGGUCAUCCUCUUUGUGAAGUCAGAUGACUGCUUUCACAGAGAGGUCCAGUGCUAUAAACUUUUAAUU